UGAGCGUGAGUUGAAGACCCUCCUCAACCUCUCCAGAUAGUCCGUUCACCACGUGGUCGUGUGCUGCUUUUACUCUACACUUAUACCACCCCUCUCUAGAUGUUGUCGUUGCGUCCCACCACUUCUUGAGUGUGGUGCCAACGUACAGCUCCGCAGACUCGACAGUCUCAGGUUUAAGAAUUGAAGCCAUGCUGUUGCCCAUAAUUCAUAUGGCCAAGAGCCUUUGCGCAGGCGCUGGAACAAAUCUUGAAAUUAUCAGGGCCCAGUUGGGCUGAUCGGACAUCAAAGCUUCAAGACUCUACACUUGUUGAAGGAGCCAGAAAACAUCCAUAGGUGAUAGGUCAACUGUAUUGGGCUUCAUGCGCUUCUGACCUCGGUAAUGUUUGGAAGGGCCUCAGCUCCUGUAGACGGUUAUGAAACACAGUUUUGGCCAACGAUCGCCCCAAUCCCGCAUUGUCCAUC
rnacentral:lncRNA from 1 species